GGGGUUGACCGGGCAGUGAGUCCGAAUCCUGUUUUGUUCCUGCGCCCAAGAUGGCUCUGUUAGGUCCGCUGGUGCCUGAGCUGCAGAGGCUGCUGGAGAAAGACCCCUACUUGGCUCCUUUUGAGCAGGACUUCCAGCGCAGGUAUGGUACAUUUCAUCGCAUCUUGAAGAGUGUUGAAGAUGCUGAAGGUGGCCUUGACAAAUUUACAAAGAGUUACCUAACAUUUGGAGUCAACAAAUUUGUGGAUGGCGGAAUAUACUGUAAAGAAUGGGCUCCUGGAGCAGAAGCAGUGUUUCUCACUGGAGACUUCAAUAACUGGAAUCCAUUUUCCCAUCCAUACAAGAAAAUAGAUUUUGGGAAAUGGGAGUUGUUUAUCCCACCUGGACCAGGUGGAUUUUCUCCUGUGGCUCAUGGAUCAAAACUGAAGGUGGUGAUACGAACUCCAAGUGGAGAGCUCCUGUAUCGUAUUUCUCCUUGGGCAAGAUAUGUAGUUCGUGAAGGGGCCAGUGUCAACUAUGACUGGAUGUACUGGGAUCCACCAGUCACAUACAGGCGGAGACAUCCUGUUCCUAAGAAGCCUAAAAGCUUAAGGAUCUAUGAAUCUCAUGUGGGAAUUGCUUCCCCUGAAGGGAAAAUAGCUUCAUAUAAAAACUUCACACACAAUGUACUUCCGAAAGUCAAGGAUCUUGGUUAUAACUGUAUUCAGUUGAUGGCUGUGAUGGAACAUGCUUAUUAUGCUAGUUUUGGUUAUCAGAUCACAAGCUUUUUUGCUGCGUCAAGCCGUUACGGACCUCCUGAUGACUUGAAGGAACUUAUAGAUGUUGCUCACUCUAUGGGAAUUACCGUCUUGUUGGAUGUUGUACAUAGUCAUGCAUCUAAAAAUUCUGAAGAUGGACUUAAUCACUUUGAUGGUACAGACAAUGCGUUUUUCCACUCCGGUCCUAGAGGAAUACAUGCACUCUGGGAUAGUCGACUCUUUGACUAUGCAAACUGGGAAGUCUUGCGGUUUCUUCUUUCCAACUUAAGGUGGUGGAUAGAAGAGUAUGCAUUUGAUGGCUUUCGAUUUGAUGGUGUAUCUUCUAUGCUAUAUCAUCAUCAUGGUAUUGGUGAAGCCUUUAGUGGAGAUUACAAUGAGUAUUUUGGUAUGCAUGUUGAUGAAGAUGCUUUGGCAUACCUAAUGUUGGCAAACUACAUGAUACAUUUCCUGCAUCCAGAAUGCAUAACAAUAGCAGAGGAUGUGUCUGGAAUGCCAGCUCUUGGCUGCCCAGUUAAAGAAGGAGGAUGUGGAUUUGAUUAUCGACUGGCCAUGGCAAUUCCUGACAAAUGGAUUCAGAUAAUUAAGGAGAUUAAGGAUGAAGACUGGGAUAUGGGAAAUAUAGUAUUCACGCUAACAAACAGGCGAUAUGGAGAGAAAUAUAUUGCAUAUGCAGAGAGUCAUGACCAGGCCCUUGUUGGUGAUAAGACUUUGGCAUUUCGGCUGAUGGAUGCAGAAAUGUAUAACCAUAUGAGUAUUCUCACACCUCUUACUCCAAUUAUUGAUCGAGGCAUACAGAUACAUAAAAUGAUCCGACUCAUUACUCAUGCACUUGGAGGAGAAGGUUAUCUCAACUUCAUGGGUAAUGAGUUUGGGCAUCCAGAAUGGUUAGAUUUCCCCCGAAAAGGAAAUAAUGAAAGUUACCAUUAUGCUAGAAGGCAGUUCCAUUUAGCUGAUGACCAACUUCUUCGCUAUAGAUUCCUCAAUGAAUUUGACAGAGAUAUGAACAAACUGGAAGAAAAAUUUGGCUGGCUUUCAGCUCCUCCGGCUUACAUCAGUGAGAAGCAUGAAUCAGAUAAAGUUAUUGCAUUUGAGAGGGCAAAUCUCCUGUUUAUAUUCAAUUUCCAUCCAUCUAAAAGUUAUACAGAUUACAGAGUGGGUGCUGAAAAACCAGGAAAGUAUAAAAUUGUACUGGAUUCUGAUGCUUCAAAAUAUGGAGGGCAUAAUAGACUGGACCAUAACACAGAUUUCUUCACUCAAAAUUACUACCAUAACAAUAAACCUAAUUCUCUUCUGCAACCCAGUUCACUGAAUGAAAGUGAUGGCCAAUCCAGAGGACAGCUGCAAACAUACUUCCUGGAGAUUUGUUGGAGUUAUUUAUCACAGAAACCUUAGGGGGAAAACACUCUGUUCACUGAGGAGAGCCGAGAUGCAUUGGACAUGCUACAGUCUGGUUCGAUGAAGAUCAGCUGUUCUUUUCCCUUUUUUCCUAAAGCUGUUUGCUUUACACCUUUCAUUCUGGUUGGCGACUAUAAAAGCUUUUCAUGCCGUCAGUCAGGCUCUCGCUUGGAGAUAACAUGGCUGAAAAUAGCAUUAUAUUAGGAAUGCCAAGAGAAGGAGGAGGAGGAGGAGGAGAGUCUUAAAACACUGGCGUUGUCAAAAAGGAAGCCUGCAAUCUUCACUCAUCUGCUGACUCUUUUCUAAUUGCAUUGUUAUUGAGUUCAGUUUAUGUGAUCAAUUGCAUUCAGCAGUCUGUAAACUACCACAUAUCAAGGUGUACAUUCCAAGCAGAGUGGCCUUUGUGCUUCAGAAUGUGGAUAUUCAGAACUGAAGACUCAACAUCUUAGAACUGGAUCCAUUGCUGCAAGACCAAGCAAUGUUUGAUGCUAGUGGUAUUGUUGUAUUUACUGGUUUGAGAACAUUUCAAUAUGAAGAGAUGUUAGUACUGGUUGAAACAUGUAGUUCUUAUUUAUUUAUAAUUACAAAGAUUUUCAGUUGGGAAAUGCUCAUUCAAAGCAAACAUAUGUAAAAGCAGAAGAAAGAAAACGGCACUGUUAACAGCUCAGUGUUACAGAAUUAGACGUCAGCACAUCUGGUAUCCUCAAAGUAAUGUUUCCAGUAUUUUAUCAGGAAUAAUGUGGAGUAUUUCAAAAUGCAUGAUCUGUCUGCAGGAAUUUUCUACAAUAUAAUUUAUAAUUUGCUGUUCAAGACAUUUUUCCUUAAACCACAUUUUGUAUUAGAGAUAAGGAAAUUUGUUUAUCAUUAUUAUUCUUUUGCUAUACAUUUCUGAAACACCUACUUACUUCAUUAACACUAGAUUUCAAGUUAUUAAGCUGCCUUGUUUGUUUGUUUUUUAAACCCAUUUUUCAAAGCCUUGCAGGGCUUCAUGAAAAUGUAUGUCAGAAAAUGAUUUGCAAGAACCAUAAAAUUAGAUUCCAGUUACAGAAGGGCACCAACUGUCAUCUUUGAAACAAACCACUGACAAUAAGACAUUGCCAUUUUGGAUUUACUGCUGUAGAGUUGUAUGGAAAUGCUUUGAAACUGACGCUUAAAUAUUUUCCUUGUUUCAUAUCAUUGAAAAAUUAAAAUAUUAAAUAUACCCCUCCAAAAAAACCAAAACAUUUUUUGCCUAUAAUGUUGUCAAUCAUGUGUUCUAAGGUGAACCUUAGAAGAUAAAUUAGACAAUUGCUGAAUAAAAGCAUUUUGAGGGUCAUGUCUUAUUAAUCUUGCAAGUAUAACCAUAUCUGUAGGGCAAAGGUCCUUUGGCCCCUCCAGAACAUUUGGGCUUCAGUUUCCACAAUCCUUUACCAUUGUCCAUCCUGGAAGGCUUUUUGAUUGUACAUUUCUGCAAUUAAUUCCUAUCUCUGCAAUUAAUGUUAAAUAACCUAGGAAGUUACAAAAGUUGGACAAUCAAAGUUUUCACACCUUAGCUAAUAAGAGUCAUAUCAUUUUCAAGCAUAUUGAAAAUGAAAUAAGUUGAUAUAUUCUUUACUAUCAUUAAUGCUACCUUUGUAUUAAAGUAGGUUAUACUCAUUGGCACAAACAUCACUUUUAGCAUCCACCUUAUGCAAAGGGCACUUGUAGCACCUUUGGGACUAACUGUGUGAAAGAAAUUGUAGUAUAAGCUUCCAUAGACGAAAUAUUAUGCUACAACUUUUUUUUGCAGAGUUAGUUUCAAAGGUGCUACAAAUUUCCUUUGCAUACUGAUAUCCCAGACUAACACAGCUAUUUCUUUGAAUUCUAGCAUCCUUCUUUAUUACAUUGCUUCACCUUUCAGAUGAAAAUAUUUUGUUUUGUUCUGUUCUCCAUUCAUAAAGAUAGAGAGGAAAUUGUUAUUUUAAUCCAGCUGAGUAACACAUUUGAAAUGAUGGUAUGAAACAACUGAUUCUUCUAAAAUGAGAAUUAUGCCAUAAGUGUGCAAGAUAAAUCAUGGAAUCAAAGAUAACAUUUCACAUAAUUUAAAAAAAACUUCACCAGGUAAAAUGUUUACAGAAGAAUACUUGUUGACAUUUAUUUGGACUAGCCAUUUUGCCUCACUUCGUAAAACAAACAUACUUGUGCCAGUAUACACAGUGCCUUCUUAAUACUUCACAAUAGCAAUCAUUCUGGAUCAAGGCACUUAACGGCAUUAUGAUCCACUGGCUGAACUGCAUGGCAGUAGCUUCUCUUGUGCAUCUCCAGUGUAGUUUCUAUGUUGUGAAUAAAUGGGCAGGAUGGCUUACAUGGAUCAUUCCUACAUUUGCUGGAUGUAUCUACUAAGCCAGGCCUCUCAACAUCUAUCUGUUUAUAUAGCCAUCAAAACAUAAAUCUCCCUUCACUCUUUCUAGGACACAGGUAUUUGUAAACAUGAUAGCAUCUAUAGUAGUUAGUUAAACAUGACUGUAAAAUAGUAAAUGUUGCCGUGUUGAUUAAUAUCCCAACUGUUAGUCAACUGCCAAUUAAUUGUCAGUUUGUUAAAGAACCAAGUUCCUGUUCUCACAGUUAAAAUCACAGUGGGUCUAUAAUUCUUUUACAGAUUUUAAAUUAAAAUUGAGAGAAAUAGCUUUAUAAAUAUGUGAUAUACUUUUGUUAAAUUGAUUUAUUAAUAUAUAAUGAAAAUUUUCUGGCCCUAUGUCUGGACAUGUAAAGGAUAUUGUCUUUUUCAAACUUUUGUGGAAGAAAAGCAAUAAAUAUGUAAAGUGAUUAGACACUAUCAAUGGCAUGCAAAUAAACAGAUAUAUAGAAAUA